rnacentral:rRNA from 1 species
UACGGGGGGGGCAAGCGUUGUUCGGAAUUACUGGGCGUAAAGGGCUCGUAGGCGGCCAACUAAGUCAGACGUGAAAUCCCUCGGCUUAACCGGGGAACUGCGUCUGAUACUGGAUGGCUUGAGUUUGGGAGAGGGAUGCGGAAUUCCAGGUGUAGCGGUGAAAUGCGUAGAUAUCUGGAGGAACACCGGUGGCGAAGGCGGCAUCCUGGACCAACACUGACGCUGAGGAGCGAAAGCCAGGGGAGCAAACAGG